GAUGAAGAACGCAGCGAAAUGCGAUAAGUAGUGUGAAUUGCAGAAUUCAGUGAAUCAUCGAAUCUUUGAACGCACAUUGCGCCCUUUGGUAUUCCUUAGGGCAUGCCUGUUCGAGCGUCAUUUAAACCUUCAAGCUCAGCUUGGUGAUGGGUGACUGUCCUCCCCUCGCGGGGGGACUCGCCUCAAAAACAUUGGCGGCCGGUACAUUGGCUUCGAGCGCAGCAGAAACGCGGUCUCGAGUCCGGUGGAUCGGCUCCCAUAAGUCUAUUCUUUUAUUUUGACCUCGGAUCAGGUAGGGAUACCCGCUGAACUUAAGCAUAUCAAUAAGCGAGGA
rnacentral:misc_RNA from 1 species